GAAAAUAAAUUAAAAAAAUUGAAAGUUCUCAAACCUGGUUUUGCACUUUUCUGUUUCAUUUCCAACAAAAUGUCGGAAUUAUUGCCUCCGGAUUCGUCAAGUGAAAAGCCCUAGCCAGCUCCAGAAGUUAAAUGGAAGUCUUAGCUGCAGAAGAUUUAGAGAGAAUUUGUUUUGUUUCAUUCUGUAAUUAGCUAAAAAGGAUAGCAUAGAUAGCAUUUUGGACUGUGUAGUUUUAAUUGCCUUUAGCUUCAAAUUUUCCGAAAAUGGUUGGAACUACAAUUUUCAAGAUUUCAACAUCCCCAUCUAUGUUGUCUUCAACUUUGACCAACAUCCCACAUUCUUCUCCAAAAAUUUUGCCAUAUAUUCCUCCAAAACCAAGAACAAGGUUGGCAAAAGUUAGAGCUAUGACUUCUGGUACUGAACAUGCUCCACCACCUCCUUCUUCAGAGCAAUUGAAUCCACUUGCUGUUGUUUUAGAUAUUCCUCGGAAUAUUUGGAGACAAACAUUACGUCCACUUAGUGAUUUUGGGUUUGGUCGUAGAAGCAUUUGGGAAGGUGGGGUUGGGUUGUUUAUUGUGUCUGGUACAGUACUUCUUGCACUUAGUCUGGCUUGGUUGAGGGGGUUUCUGAUACGUUCUAAAUUCCGGAAGUACUUGGUGGUGUUUGAAUUUGCUCAGGCAUCUGGUAUUUGCACUGGAACACCUGUAAGGAUUAGAGGUGUGACUGUAGGCAAUGUUGUACGUGUUAAUCCCUCCUUGAAAAGUAUAGAAGCAGUUGUUGAGGUUGAAGAUGAUAAGAUUAUUAUUCCUCGAAAUUCACUGAUUGAGGUGAACCAAUCUGGUCUUCUGAUGGAAACUUUGAUUGACAUCACACCUCGGGAUCCGGUUCCAUCACCUUCAGUGGGACCUCUUGAUGCAGACUGUCCUAAUGAAGGUCUAAUUAUAUGUGAUAGGCAAAAGAUAAAGGGAGAACAAGGGGUAAGUCUGGAUGCAUUGGUAAGGAUAGUCACCCGUCUUGCUCGUCAAAUUGAGGAAAUUGGUAUUGCUAACACCUAUGCUCUUGCUGAACGAGUUGCUGCUGUCAUCCAGGAUGCAAAGCCCCUGCUCACAAAGAUUGAAGCCAUGGCCGAAGAUAUGCAACCUUUGUUGGCUGAGGUUCAUGGUAGUGGUCUGCUUAAGGAGGUUGAGAAUUUGACCAGAAGCCUAAUACAAGCCUCUGAGGAUUUAAGAAGGGUGCAUUCAUCCAUUAUGACUCCUGAGAACACCGAAUUGCUUCAAAAAUCAAUUUAUACUCUAAUUUUUACUUUGAAGAAUAUCGAGAAUAUAAGUUCUGAUAUACUGGGAUUCACGGGUGAUGAAUCAACAAGAAAAAAUUUGAAAUCACUUAUCAAGUCUCUCAGCAGGCUGUUGUGAAGACAAAUGAAAAAGCAUACAAUAAUUGAUCAGACAACACAAUCCAAACUCAAAACUGAAUAGGGAAGUGAGCAUCAGAGACGAAUAUGUUCAGAUACAGGUAUUUCAAGAAAAAUGAAGAAUCGGAUCAACAUAGAUUAAAUGAAUCUCCUGUUUCCUACAAGUUUAUGAAGAAUUAUUCGAAUCCUAAGAUCUGGAUUUUGUCCUUGUUGCAUGAAGGAAAUUCUUAAGUGUUAUAGAAACAUUCAAGGUCAAAGGCAAUGUUGUUAAUUUAGUUUUAGUAUUGGUUGUGUCAAUCAAUACGAUUUAGUUAUACUAAAAAAAGGGUACACUUAAAGUUGGUUUUUUGUACCAAAUUUGAUAUUGAAUAAUACCGAUUAUUUUCAUUGA